UUCAAUGGCGGUUCAGGUAGGGAAGGCUAACGCCUUGCCGGAAGAUGGUUCCCGGUCCGCGAACCCUGCCUUGAAUCGCCACCAUC
rfam:Xenorhabdus khoisanae strain MCB contig015, whole genome shotgun sequence.